AUUGAACGCUGGCGGCAGGCCUAACACAUGCAAGUCGAGCGAGCGGCGGACGGGUGAGUAAUGUAUGGGGACUGCCCGAUAGAGGGGGAUAACUACUGGAAACGGUGGCUAAUACCGCAUACUAUCGGAUAACCCAUAUGGGAUUGGCUAGUAGGUGGGGUAAAGGCUCACAGAGGCGACGAUGUCUAGCUGGGCUGAGAGGAUGAUCAGCCACACUGGGACUGAGCCACGGCCCAGACUCCUACGGAGGCAGAAGGGGGGAAUAGUGCACAAUGGGCGCAAGCCUGAGGCAGCCAUGCCGCGUGUAUGAAGAAGGCCUUAGGGUUGUAAAGUACUUUCAGCGGGGAGGCGUUACCCGCAGAAGAAGCACCGGCUAACUCCGUGCCAGCCGCCGCGGUAAUUC
rnacentral:rRNA from 1 species